rnacentral:piRNA from 1 species
GGACAUAGUACUACCGGAGGAUC